rnacentral:misc_RNA from 1 species
GGAAGUAAAAGUCGUAACAAGAUUUCCGUAGGUGAACCUGCGGAAGGAUCAUUAACAUGGAGAGGGGAUGGUGCGCGCGCCUGGUCUGGCUUGGGCUGGAUCGGGGGCGGGCCAGUCCUGGUGCCUGGGGCUUGGGCCGGCAGGCCGGGUAGAGAAUACCCGGGCGGCAGGCCUGGGACAGGGUACACACAUGCCCUUCAGAUCUCCGGGUCUGGAUGCGUGCAUAAGCGCUUGGUAGUCGAUAAUUGUGCACAAGUAUAUAUAUUACGAAUGAAAGUCAGGGAACACUUUUAACAAUGGAUCUCUUG